rfam:Rhizoctonia solani AG-1 IA unplaced genomic scaffold scaffold2, whole genome shotgun sequence.
UUGCGGAUGAUCCAACCCAAUUGCAUAGUUCACACUGAACAACUCAUGUGGAACACCAUUCAUCUUGUCUUUCGCUCCUAACUGAUCCCUUUU